rnacentral:rRNA from 1 species
UACGUAGGUGGCGAGCGUUGUCCGGAUUUACUGGGCGUAAAGGGCGUGCAGGCGGUUUGUUAAGUGCAGGGUGAAAGCUCCCGGCUCGACUGGGAGAGGUCCUUGCAUACUGGCGAACUCGAGGGAGGCAGAGGAAAGUGGAAUUCCCGGUGUAGUGGUGAUAUGCGUAGAUAUCGGGAGGAACACCUGUGGCGAAGGCGGCUUUCUGGGCCUUACCUGACGCUGAGACGCGAAAGCGUGGGGAGCGAACCGG